rnacentral:rRNA from 1 species
AUGGCGCUGUCGUCAUCCCGGCGUUCCUCCAUUCUCCAUCGCGCCCCGCUUCUCCUUACUAAGGCUGCUGCCGGCGCCCCAAGCGCAACCGCGCCCUGCUGCCGCUGCUCUUCUCGCGUGCCGCCUGACCUGCGCUGUUGCAGCACCUUCAACACCUCACCCCCCGUCGCUAUCAACCUCUCCACCUGCAUCCUGCAAGCUCUCGCCGCUACCCCAAGCGCCCCUGUCCUCGAGCACCUAUUGGCUUCGGAUCCUGUCAAGCGCUCUAACCCGUCACUGCCAUGUCCUUGCAUCCAUCUGGUGAUGUUGUUUUCACGAAGCCACUGUACCAUGGCCACAAACGAGACCCGUCGGUCAUCACCAAGACCCGCUGCGUUGACUAGAUCGGUGCCGUUCCAGGCCAAUGCACUAUGCUACUACGCUGAGAGAACCAGGAUAUGCCAAGACUCGGACCGACAAGUACCGUGGCACCGAAGACAUUUGAUGCGUCAAGUCCUUUUUCGAAAGUGUACAACUACCGUCGUCGACGACUCGAGUACCACUACCGUCGACCCUCGAAGACCCCGUGGACGUCAAGUUCCAUGUCGUGACCCCGAACAUCUACGAAAAUGUUGUACGACUACUUCCGUGGUCGAAGACCCGUGUACAACUACCGUCGCCGUGUACGACUACUUCUGCUACGAACGUCCCAAGAACAUCUACUUCCUCUACUUUGCACCGAACGAGAAUCGUCCCGUUUUCUUGCUUCGAAGGUGCCAUUGA